UCAUGUCGAUUGCUGCCAGUGAUUUCGUUGCCAUUUCUUGCACGCUGUGCGCUUUUUUUCUCUUCGCUAACAAAUAAUUGUUUUAGUUGUUCAUAAAAGCGUAUAGAUUUAAUUUUUAGCCACCUAAUAAAAUAAGCCCACGACAAAAGUGUUUAGUUGUUUAUUUUGUCUAUGACUCACGCUUUUUUACAACAAUAAAAAAUUGUGACAGAUAGCCAACAGGCAUGCCCAUGGCGGGAAAUGUCUUGGGGCUUUUGUCAGGAACUCGCACAGCCAUGGGAAAUUUUCUAAGUGCAUGGUGUGCCCGUCGGAAUUGAUUGAGAGAGAAUUAAUGAAUAUUGGGCUGUCUAAAAAGUUCGGCAGUACUCAAAUAUUUUUGGACAUGCAUAUAUGCAAGACCAAUUU